rnacentral:lncRNA from 1 species
GAAAAUAGCUUUUGGGUUUUCAUUUAUUUUUUUGACAAAGACUGCACAUAAGAAGAAAAGGAAAAAAAUAUACUCAGAAAAAAAGUAUGAGACUCUUGCCAUAUGAACUCAAAAUCUACCAUGGCAUUCACUCCAUGUAGCAGGUUGUGGUGUCUCUAGAACCAAUUGUUAGUUUCCUAAUGCUUUGGUGAACCCAUGUGGGAUGACAAGCCGUUUGAAAAGCAGGUCCCCAGAUCUAAUUCCAAUAUUUGCCAUUCAAACCUGUAACAGAUGGGUUUGGGGCUGGUGUUAUCGGAGCUAUUGGUUUCACUUAACAAAUACUGUCCCUGUCCAUCAACCCAAAGUGUGUGAACGGGGAAAUGUAACCCCCAAGAAUUAAAGCAGAGCCUUUCUAAGGGAAGGAAAAAAGGGAAAGGGGGUGGACUGGAUCUGUGAAAUGCAUGCAAACAAAGAAAAAAAAAAACCCACAAAAAAGAAAAGACAAUGUUAGCAUCUGUUUCAACAGACUGCAAGGGAGUUCCUAACUUGUAACACAACCACAAGUGGUCACACAAGCCUAGUCAUGGCCAAGUGUGAAAAAUCAUAGUUACUUCCCCACCCCCAACAUAAUAACGGUUUCCAUAUGGUUUAACUUUGUAGCCUGAUGUGAGUAAAUCCUUCCCAUCUCCUCAUGUCUCCUUCCGCCCAUCUUUUUUUUUUAAAGACAAAUAAAUAAAUGAGUAAAGCUGCUGUGACACACACACAAAAGGAAUUUAAUAGUAUAAUAUAUAUAAAUAAAUAUAUAUACAGAUAUAUUUAUCAUGGUAUGUUUGAUGGGAUGACUGACACAGAAAUCUGUUAAAGUCUUGAAGUGGAAUGAGAAUGUUAUUUUAAAAGAAAAAUAACAAAACAACAAAAAAGUAAACCUUAAAAUGUGAAGAAAGUGUGAGUUUUCGUUUUGUCACAGUUAACUGUGUCAAAGAGAAUUUAAACAACAAACAACAGAAACUUCUCAGAUUUUGUUUACAUAUUUUACUACAUUUUUGCUGGUAUAAUCCCUUAGUCGUGUAUGUACCUACCGCUUUGAGAACUGUUAUUUCCUUUCUGUCUGUUUAUUUGGUUUGUGUCCCAUUCUCUUUCUGUCUUCUUUUUGUAAAGAGGAAACAAUGUACAGAGUAAUUAAAAAAAAAAAAACAAACAAACAAACUGGUUUCAUGGCCAUAGCCAUUCAAAAAGCAAGAAGAUAAAGCAAGACACAUACUCUCACAGAGGGCAAUGUGUCAUCUGGAGGGGCAGGCAUAUACAAUUUCUUUUGUACAGAUGAAAACCAAUCAGCUGUUUAGAUUUAGAAAUCUACUCUUGCUGGUCUUUGUAAGUUGCAUGAAUAUUUGACUUUGAAAAAACAAUAUCUUACAGACAUGGGGCAGAAGGCACAGUCUAAAACAGUGGUAGCCUUUACUGAUGUGUAUGGAGAGCGGUGUUCCUCCUUAUCUGAGAUUUCAAUGUUUUAAGAGUUUUCCUUUUUUUUGUUGUUGUUGUCAUUAAAAAAGACAGGACUGUACAAGGAUAUCUAAGCACGAUUUUAGAUAAAUGGCCCAGCCUAUAUGAAGUUGAUUAUAUCUCGAUGUCUGUGACAGAUUGCUGUUCUUGGAGUCGUGAGAUCUUGUGAACUGAUAUUCUCCUUUCUUUCUUUCCACUUUUUUUUAAAAAUCGGAGUAAAUACUCAUUUGUUAUAUUCCUUUUAGUGUAAGUUAAUAUUUGGACAGUUUUACGGGAACUUGUGCAUUCUGUACGAGAGCUUUCAUUGGAUUCCUGUUGUGUUCUUUGCAGACCCUGAAAGAGAUUUUUUUUCAUAAUGUUGCGAUGUUCCUGCUUUUUUCUUUUUCCUUUUCUCUUUGCUUUCCCAUUUGCUUUUUCGUUCAUGGAUAUGCUUAGCAAUAAAAUGUUCUUCCC